CAUCACACUAAUAUGUGCUUUAAUUUACCAAGUGAGAUGAGUUACUUUUAUGGCUCAUUCAGUCAUAUCACACUGCAAGCUGCAUUCAUCAAUCUUCAAUUGGAUUUUGCAAAUGAUUAAUGAAACAUGUUUCCCUUUUAUGCAGAUAUGCAAUGGCAAGCCCUUCCGUGUCUUCCAAAGACAAUGCCUACACCUAGCCACAGCAGCUCCCUCAUAAAGACUCCGCAAGCCAGGAGGCCGUGGAGGCAAAUGCAGGCAGCCAGCACACCUUGAACAGCCACCUUGACUGCGGGUGUGUCACCCUAGUCGCCAAGGAAACAUUUGAGGGAAAGCGACAGACAAUGUGAACAGUCACUUUUCCAUGUAAACGAUACUCUUUCUCUCGGAUGACUCCUACGCCUCGCCACGCCAGCACACUUGUGCACAAAUAUGCCGCUGAGGCACGUGCAGGUCAGAGGCAAGAAGCAGUGGCACUGGUGUCGACAUUCACCCAAUUUAUUUUUCUUACACUGAGGCAGCCAGCACACCUCGAACAGCCACCUUGACAGCGGGUGUGUCAGUAGAUUCCUGUUGUACAUAUGCUCAUAAUAAACUUCAGUAAACUUGAACUUGAUAAUAAACUUGAAGGCAAAUGGGACAUUGAUGCAUUGUUCUUUUGAACAUUUAUUGUACACAUACAAUAUAUGUUAUACUUUGCAGUGCUACAGAGCGUAUUUUGAAGCUUCCCCCUAUAUUUCGCACCUUUAAUUACGUAUGUGUUG
rnacentral:lncRNA from 1 species